rnacentral:rRNA from 1 species
GAUUUCUGGCUUGUUCAUACCCUGCCCGCCGUUUUUAACGGAUGCGUGCCGGAGUACGACGGCCAUUCUUCUAGAAAUCGUAGCUACCCUUAACUGGGCCUGUUACGCGAUCUAGAUCUUUUACUUUGAAAAAAUUAGAGUGUUUAAAGCAGGCAUUUGCUCUGAAUACAUUAGCAUGGAAUAAUAAUUUAGGACUUUGGUUCUAUUUUGUUGGUUUCUAGGACUGAAGUAAUGAUUGAUAGGGAUAGUUGGGGGUGCUAGUAUUCAGCGGCCAGAGGUGAAAUUCUUGGAUUCGCUGAAGACUAACUUAUGCGAAAGCAUU